GAUACAGGGGGACAGGUACGCGCGUGAAUGCGGAGGUGGCAAGCGUUGGUCGGAGUCUCGGGGAGUAAAGUGCGUGAAGGGCGGUUGUCACGUACGGGGUGAAAACCCGGGGCGCAACUCUGGGACGGCCUGGGCUACGGGGAAACUUGAGGAUCGGAGAGGCAAGGUGAAUUCCACGUGUAGCGGUGAAAUGCGUAGAGAUGUGGAGGAACACCUGUGGCGAAGGCGCCUUGCUGGCCGAUUUCUGACGCUGAGGCGCGAAAGCGUGGGGAGCAAACAGGAUUAGAUACCCGAGUAGUC
rnacentral:rRNA from 1 species